GUCUAAGGCCAUAUCACCCUGAAUGUGCCCAAUCUUGUCUGGUCUCGAAAGCUAAGCAGGGUUGGGCCUCGUUAUACUUGGAUGGAAGACAGAUCUUCAGAGGGGACUGCUCAGAGA
rnacentral:rRNA from 1 species